rnacentral:rRNA from 1 species
UCCUGCUUCCCUCUGAACCCAAAAUGUGAUCUUGUCAGAUCUCACAAGCUAAGCACAAUUGGACCCAGUCAGUAUUUAAAUGGGAGAUCCCCAAGUAAAAUACAGUGUAUUGCCAGAA